GAUGAAGAACGUAGCGAAAUGCGAUAAGUAAUGUGAAUUGCAGAAUUCAGUGAAUCAUCGAAUCUUUGAACGCACAUUGCGCCCGCCAGUAUUCUGGCGGGCAUGCCUGUUCGAGCGUCAUUUCAACCAUCAAGCCCCCGGCUUGUGUUGGGGACCUGCGGCUGCCGCAGGCCCUGAAAUGCAGUGGCGGGCUCGCUGUCACUCCGAGCGUAGUAGUUACAUCUCGCUCUGGGCGUGCUGCGGGUUCCUGCCGUUAAAAGCCUUAUUUACCCAAGGUUGACCUCGGAUCAGGUAGGAAGACCCGCUGAACUUAAGCAUAUCAAUAAGCGGAGGA
rnacentral:misc_RNA from 1 species